rnacentral:lncRNA from 13 species
GAGCGAGCGACGCAGCAAUUAGAGGAUCUGACUGCAUCCCCCUCAGCCUCAGCCUCCACUGGCAAGACUAGACAGAAACAAACAAACAAACAAGUAGGGGGACUGCUACUAGAAGGGAAGGACAGGUUAGAUAGAUGUAGUGACAGCAAGAGUGAGAGAGAGAGGGAAGGAAAGAGAAAAGUAGACAGUGGAAAGGAGAGGGAUAGAGAGCAGGUGUCUGAAAUCCUCUCCCUCUGCUCGUCAUUUUCUCUUCUGUUUCCCCCUCUUCUUCUGGGAGACGUAUUGGAUUUAGACAGCGGUACUCGGAGCCGUCGAGGCCUUCUGCCGGGGAAGGAAACGAGGGAAGGAGAGAGAGAAAGGGAAGGAGGGGGGCCCUUUUGGAUUGAAACAGACACAUUUUUCAACCCUUGUGUUUCAUUUGACCAAGAGGCUCCUUCCACGUCUAGCUCCACUGAGGAGAGGGAGAGAGAUAAAGAAAGGGAAGAAGACAGGGGGAUAUCCAAACACAUCGAUUAGCCAUCAGGAUCGAAGAGCCUGUGAAGAGUUGGAGUAGUGGAGUACAGUCCCAGUUUACAGCUCCCACCACCAGGCUGCAGUUAACUAACCUCCUUUCUGAACCAUCCCACUGCCUGCCUGCCUGCCUGCCUGCCUGCCUGUCUGCCUUCCUGCCUGCCUGCCUGCCUGCCACCCAGACCACCUCCAGACCCCAGACCUGCACUUCAUGGGAACAGAUGAAUAGGAAAGAUAGAUAGAGACUGAUAUUUUUAUUUUAUUUUACCUUUAUUUAACUUGGCAAGUCAGUUAAGAACAAAUUCUUAUUUUCAAUGACGGCCUAGGAACAGUGGGUUAACUGCCUGUUCAGGGGCAGAACGACAGAUUUGUACCUUGUCAGCUCGGGGGUUUGAACUUGCAACUGAUAGACAGGGAGCUAAGAGAGAAACAGUGGGAUGCAGGUGUAGAAAGAGGUAGAGAGAGAACAAGAGAGAACGAGAGUCAGAGAGAAAACCAUAGAUGAAGGUAGAGAGAGAACAAGAGAGAACGAGAGACAGAGAGAAAACCAUAGAUGAAGGUAGAGAGAGAACAAGAGAGAAUGAGAGACAGAGAGAAAACCAUAGAUGAAGGUAGAGAGAGAACAAGAGAGAACGAGAGACAGAGAGAAAACCAUAGAUGAAGGUAGAGAAAGAGCAAGAGAGAACGAGAGACAGAGAGACAGGAACAAACCAAAUAGUGUCAGUGGUGGUUGGUGCCAUUCAAGAAUAGGGAGGACCAUUUAUUUUUUAUGAGCAUUGCCUUAUUUGUAUUACAGUAUAUUGGAUGACUGUCAUUCAUAUUCCAUUCACCCAGCUCAAUGUAACUACUACAUGAUACUCAAAUUUUCCCUAUACCCAUCAUGAGGUUGCUACAACCUAGCCUACAAAUGAACAUUUAUAACGUAGGGGCACAAGUCGAGAGACAAAUUGGAGAAUCAAGGUGACAGACAGUGACACAUUCAAUACCGUCUUGUGCACUCUUACCUGCAUCUAGCUGAUCUGUUUCUUUCCGUUUGCUUCCUUUUAAGAAACGUUUUGCAACAGAAUUGGUUGAAUGAAUACACCCCUGAUCACCUGCAUACACAGAUCCCUUUCAUAGCAGCCACAUACAGCAUCAUCACUUUGCUUGUUGUAUAAUUCCUUUGUGCAUCUACACGCUCUCCUCCUCUCACCUUUUACCUUCGCUUGUGGACUAAAGUGUAAGGCAGCUAGCUAACAUACAUAGACAGCAUUGUUCUCUUUUUGAGUCAGGUUGUUGAGUAGGCUAAAUUAGCUGCGUUAUCUACUGUAAGUAAGUGAAAGGUACACUAAGAAGGAAAAAAAUUACAAGGGAAUAUAGCUAGCUAGCCCGCUCUCUCGCUCUCUCUCUCUCUGCUGCUUUUCCUUAAUUGUUGACUAAAUAAAUUUGUUCAAAACUUUUCAACUGUUGUCUUUCUCUGUCUUAUGAGUUAACUACUCUCCACACACAGCUGUAACUUAUCCUUUCAGUACUAGAUUCAUUAUCUGAUCCUUUGACUGGAUGGACAACAUGUCAGUUCAUAUUGCAAGAGCUCUGAUAGGUUGGAGGACAUCCUCCGUUAGUUGUCAUGAUUACUGUGUAAGUCUAUGGAAGACAGAAGCUAGCUGUCCUCUGGCUACACGAUGGUGCUACCCUACAGAGUGGUGUUGAGGAUACUGUAGACCUUCAUUGCAAAACAUUGUGUUUAAUAAAUUAUUUGGUAAUGUGAAUGUGUUUACUAUAGUUUUAUGUAAAAACAAUAACUUUUUUAAUGUUUCACAAUUUAUAUUUUUCUGAAAUUCACCCCCCUUCCUCCACUGGUGUGUGUGUGUGUGUGUGUGUGUGUGUGUGUGUGUGUGUGUGUGUGUGUAUGCGUAUUUGUAUGUGUGCUUGCGUGUGGCUGUUAGCCUGGUUGUUGUGUCUCCGUUUUUGUUCAGAGAGUUCCGGUAAAUAAACCACACAGAGCAUAGUGCGAGACCCUGACAGACAGACAGACAGACAGACAGACAGACAGACAGACAGACAGACAGACAGACAGACAGA